GACGAACGCUGGCGGCGUGCUUAACACAUGCAAGUCGAACGGAAAGGCCCUGCUUUUGUUGGGUGCUCGAGUGGCGAAAGGGUGAGUAACACGUGAGUAACCUGCCCUUGACUUUGGGAUAACUUCAGGAACCUGGGGCUCAUACCGGCUAGGAGCUCCUGCUGCCUGGUGGGGGUUGGAAAGUUUCGGCGGUUGGGGAUGUACUCGCUGCUUAUCAGCUUGUUGGUGGGGUAGUGGCUUACCAAGGCUUUUACGGGUAGCCGGCCUGGGAGUGUGACCGGCCACAUUGGGACUGAGAUACGGCCCAGACGCCUACGGGAGGCAGCAGUGGGGAAUAUUGCACAAUGGGCGGAAGCCUGAUGCAGCAACGCCGCGUGCGGGAUGACGGCCUUCGGGUUGUAAACCGCUUUCGCCUGUGACGAAGCGUGAGUGACGGUAAUUGGUAAAGAAGCACCGGCUAACUACGUG
rnacentral:rRNA from 1 species